rnacentral:misc_RNA from 1 species
GUUCGCUUCAGUAGUGUGCGUGACCGUACCGGGAGGAGGGUGGCUCCGCGCGCGGCCGCACCGCGAAACCGUGCCCACUCGCCUCGACCACGGACAUCCACGCUAGUUUUCUCGUAUUGUGAAAACAUGGCGGCCAGUGACGACGAGCCGAUGCAUCUCUACGAGGUCUUUCAAAAUUGCUUCAACAAGAUCGCCAACAAGCAACCCGAAAAGCCAGGCUUCCAGUCACCCUAUGGCUCUACGAUGGACAACGGAAUGACGUACGGAAGCGGUGGUGGCGGUGGUGGAGGUGGCGGAGGUGCGUUCGGUCCAUCGGUCGGGGGUCCCGGUGGUGGGCCAGGGGGAGGUGGGGGAGGUGGUCCUGGUGGUGGAGGUGGUGGUGGUGGUGGCGGUGGGGCCGUCGAAGGUGCCACCUAUCCCCCGGAUUCGCCGUACUUUCCGUUUGGAAGUAGAGGUGUACCUCCCUCAGUUGUAACCCCCACCCCCGCCACUGCAAAUCCGGCGGCCCCCACAGGAACGAAUGGUGCACGGUUACCCAAUCCCACGGUUGGUGCUGCUGCCGUAAAAAGAAAGAAGGACACUCUCGAUGGGGCAGCGGACGGCGAAGUGGUAACGACGCAGCAUUGGAUGUUUCGCGAUGAUAGCCAUGGAAACCGUAUGGCAGAGAUCUUGGAGGUUCUCGAGAAAUGUGAGGAGUACCCUUCGAGAUUUACAGCAGCAAUAUUAACGCCGACGAGUGCAUCCAAGCUUUAUUCUCUCCUGGGUCCUUCCAGCAUCGUCAAAUUUUCAAGUACGACGCUCAGCAUUUAGCAGAAGUGGCAUCUCCAAAAGCAGGACUCAGGAAACCGGUCAAUGAUCUCGGAAUCCUGCAAGCUUAGUCCAAGAGGCUAUGUGAAAAAUAGAAAAUCGUCGUAGAGGGCACGUUUAGAGGAAAAGACAAAGAUUGAAGGGAAAAAUCUGUUCGGGAAUGAUUUGAAGGUCCUUCCAGCAUCGUCAAAUUUUCAAGUGCGACGCUUAGCAUUUAGCAGAAGUGGCAUCCUUAUAAUUAAUAAAUAUAAUACUAUAAUAAUAGUAAAUUAUAUAAAUUUCUUUGUAUAUACUAUUGAGAAAUACACGUACCCUCAACAAAAUUUUUAUUCUACUGAUACUUUCUUUUAAUUGUUCGAUCGUCAGAUUUAAGUUUUUGAUCACUAAACAAUGAGACACCGAGUCUUUCAAAAAGAAAGAAGACACAAAA